CAAGUCGAACGAUCACUUCGGUGGUAGUGGCGCACGGGUGCGUAACGCGUGGGAAUCUGCCCUUGGGUUCGGAAUAACGUCGGGAAACUGACGCUAAUACCGGAUGAUGACGUAAGUCCAAAGAUUUAUCGCCCAGGGAUGAGCCCGCGUAGGAUUAGCUAGUUGGUGGGGUAAAGGCCUACCAAGGCGACGAUCCUUAGCUGGUCUGAGAGGAUGAUCAGCCACACUGGGACUGAGACACGGCCCAGACUCCUACGGGAGGCAGCAGUAGGGAAUAUUGGACAAUGGGCGCAAGCCUGAUCCAGCAAUGCCGCGUGAGUGAUGAAGGCCUUAGGGUUGUAAAGCUCUUUUACCAGAGAUGAUAAUGACAGUAUCUGGGGAAUAAGCCCCGGCUAACUCCGUGCCAGCAG
rnacentral:rRNA from 1 species